CCUACGGGAGGCAGCAGUGGGGAAUAUUGCACAAUGGGGGAAACCCUGAUGCAGCAACGCCGCGUGAAGGAUGACGGUUUUCGGAUUGUAAACUUCUUUUCUUAGUGACGAAGACAGUGACGGUAGCUAAGGAAUAAGCAUCGGCUAACUACGUGCCAGCAGCCGCGGUAAUACGUAGGAUGCAAGCGUUAUCCGGAUUUACUGGGUGUAAAGGGAGCGCAGGCGGGACUGCAAGUUGGAUGUGAAAUACCGUGGCUUAACCACGGAACUGCAUCCAAAACUGUAGUUCUUGAGUGAAGUAGAGGCAAGCGGAAUUCCGAGUGUAGCGGUGAAAUGCGUAGAUAUUCGGAGGAACACCAGUGGCGAAGGCGGCUUGCUGGGCUUUAACUGACGCUGAGGCUCGAAAGUGUGGGGAGCAAACAGGAUUAGAUACCCUGGUAGUCCACACUGUAAACGAUGAAUACUAGGUGUGCGGGGACUGACCCCCUGCGUGCCGCAGUAAACACAAUAAGUAUUCCACCUGGGGAGUACGAUCGCAAGGUUGAAACUCAAAGGAAUUGACGGGGGCCCGCACAAGCGGUGGAUUAUGUGGUUUAAUUCGAAGCAACGCGAAGAACCUUACCAGGGUUUGACAUCCUGCUAACGAAGUAGAGAUACAUUAGGUGCCCUUCGGGGAAAGCAGAGACAGGUGGUGCAUGGUUGUCGUCAGCUCGUGUCGUGAGAUGUUGGGUUAAGU
rnacentral:rRNA from 1 species